GAUGAACGCUGGCGGCGUGCCUAAUACAUGCAAGUCGAGCGAACAGACGAGGAGCUUGCUCCUCUGACGUUAGCGGCGGACGAGUGAGUAACACGUGGAUAACCUACCUAUAAGACUGGGAUAACUUCGGGAAACCGGAGCUAAUACCGGAUAAUAUAUUGAACCGCAUGGUUCAAUAGUGAAAGACGGUUUUGCUGUCACUUAUAGAUGGAUCCGCGCCGCAUUAGCUAGUUGGUAAGGUAACGGCUUACCAAGGCAACGAUGCGUAGCCGACCUGAGAGGGUGAUCGGCCACACUGGAACUGAGACACGGUCCAGACUCCUACGGGAGGCAGCAGUGGGGAAUCUUCCGCAAUGGGCGAAAGCCUGACGGAGCAACGCCGCGUGAGUGAUGAAGGUCUUCGGAUCGUAAAACUCUGUUAUUAGGGAAGAACAAAUGUGUAAGUAACUAUGCACGUCUUGACGGUACCUAAUCAGAAAGCCACGGCUAACUACGUG
rnacentral:rRNA from 1 species